UUGAACGCUGGCGGCAGGCCUAACACAUGCACGUCGAACGGUAACAGGAAGAAGCUUGCUUCUUUGCUGACGAGUGGCGGACGGGUGAGUAAUGUCUGGGAAACUGCCUGAUGGAGGGGGAUAACUACUGGAAACGGUAGCUAAUACCGCAUAACGUCGCAAGACCAAAGAGGGGGACCUUCGGGCCUCUUGCCAUCGGAUGUGCCCAGAUGGGAUUAGCUAGUAGGUGGGGUAACGGCUCACCUAGGCGACGAUCCCUAGCUGGUCUGAGAGGAUGACCAGCCACACUGGAACUGAGACACGGUCCAGACUCCUACGGGAGGCAGCAGUGGGGAAUAUUGCACAAUGGGCGCAAGCCUGAUGCAGCCAUGCCGCGUGUAUGAAGAAGGCCUUCGGGUUGUAAAGUACUUUCAGCGGGGAGGAAGGGAGUAAAGUUAAUACCUUUGCUCAUUGACGUUACCCGCAGAAGAAGCACCGGCUAACUCCGUG
rnacentral:rRNA from 1 species